rnacentral:rRNA from 1 species
GAUGAACGCUGGCGGCGUGCCUAAUACAUGCAAGUAGAACGCUGAAGCUUGGUGCUUGCACCGAGCGGAUGAGUUGCGAACGGGUGAGUAACGCGUAGGUAACCUGCCUCUUAGCGGGGGAUAACUAUUGGAAACGAUAGCUAAUACCGCAUAAAAGUAGAUAUCGCAUGAUAUUGAUUUGAAAGGUGCAAAUGCAUCACUAAGAGAUGGACCUGCGUUGUAUUAGCUAGUUGGUGAGGUAACGGCUCACCAAGGCGACGAUACAUAGCCGACCUGAGAGGGUGAUCGGCCACACUGGGACUGAGACACGGCCCAGACUCCUACGGGAGGCAGCAGUAGGGAAUCUUCGGCAAUGGGGGGAACCCUGACCGAGCAACGCCGCGUGAGUGAAGAAGGGUGUCGGAUCGGAAAGCUCUGUUGUAAGAGAAGAACGAGUGUGAGAGUGGAAAGUUCACACUGUGACGGUAACUUACCAGAAAGGGACGGCUAACUACGUG